GUGAGGAAUUUUGCGCAAUGGGGGCAACCCUGACGCAGCGACGCCGCGUGGAGGACGAAGUCUUUCGGGAUGUAAACUCCUGUCAGUGGGGACGAUAAUGACGGUACCCACAGAGGAAGCACCGGCUAACUCCGUGCCAGCAGCCGCGGUCAGACGGAGGGUGCAAGCGUUGUUCGGAAUUACUGGGCGUAAAGCGUAUGUAGGCGGCAAGUUAAGUUCAAUGUUAAAGCCCACGGCUCAACCGAGGAGAUGCAUUGAAUACUGGCUAGCUAGAGGGUGUUAGAGGAAGACGGAAUUCCCAGUGUAGCGGUGAAAUGCGUAGAUAUUGGGAGGAACAUCGGUAGCGAAAGCGGUCUUCUGGGACAUACCUGACGCUGAGGUACGAAAGCGUGGGGAGCAAACGGGAUUAGAAACCCGUGUAGUCC
rnacentral:rRNA from 1 species